rnacentral:rRNA from 1 species
AUGAACACGUUGUGCGCCAAGCCCAUGGGGUUCUCUGGUGGCGUGAAGUGCCAGCGGCGGGCGCGGGUGAGGGUGUCGGCCGUGGCGGCGGCGCCGGAGAGGGUGACGAUGUACGACGUGCUGGCGGUGGGGAACGCGGCGGGGCCGGAGGAGAUCAAGGCGGCGUACAGGCGCGCCGCGCGGCGGUGGCACCCGGACGCGUGCCCGGGCGGCGCCGACCGGUUCAUGAGGGCGCGCGAGGCCUACGAGGUGCUCUCCGACCCCGAGCGCAGGCGGGGCUACGACAUCCAGCUGCGCUGUGGCGCGGGCGCGGGCGCCGCCGGGUCCCGCUCCAGCCCCGCGCCGCGCGCGGGCUUCGCCGACUGGGAAGCACAGCUGGCCGGGCUGCAGUGGCGGAUGGCGGACACGCGAGGCGAAACGUGGGGGAGCAGGAUGCGCCGCGGCGCCGCGCAGCCGACAUCGUUCUAA